UACGGAGGGGGCGAGCGUUGUCCGGAGUUACUGGGCGUAAAGGGCAUGCAGGCGGUCGGACGCGUUUUGUGUGACAGCGGGUGGCUCAACUGCCCGAGCAUACGAAAGACGGUUUGACUUGAGGGCUCGAGAGGGACACGGAAUUCCGGGUGGAGUGGUGAAAUGCGUAGAUAUCUGCAGGAACACCCGUGGCGAAAGCGGCGCGCUGGACCACUACUGACGCUGAGGAACGAAAGCUAGGGGAGCAAACGGG
rnacentral:rRNA from 1 species